GUCAGUUUAUUUUUUAUAUGCCAGACUGCCGCUGUGCCGCGCAUCUAAUAUUUUGAAACUACCAUGCCUUAAAAACUCACACUUAAUGUUGCAUUGUGAUCAUUCUGGUUAAUCCUUUUCUUUCUUCCCCUCUUGACAAUUAACCUUCCUUCGCCACUAUUCUGCGACGCCAUGUGAGAGACUCAAUAUGCAAUAUUUUCCUUCAAUGUUGAAUGUUCACAUCGCUAAGUGGCCCAGAAUUUCGCCUUUUUUUCAUCAUAAACAACAUACAACAUGAAUAUCAAAAAUAUGACACCACUUAACUGCAAACGUAUUUUUUUUCAGAAAACAAAAUAAAAACUGCAUCAAAUUUUGAAAACAUGCAAA